rnacentral:rRNA from 1 species
AGUAAUGCUUGGGAAUAUGCCUUAUGGUGGGGGACAACAGUUGGAAACGACUGCUAAUACCGCAUGAUGUCUACGGACCAAAGUGGGGGACCUUCGGGCCUCACGCCAUAAGAUUAGCCCAAGUGGGAUUAGCUAGUUGGUGAGGUAAUGGCUCACCAAGGCGACGAUCCCUAGCUGGUUUGAGAGGAUGAUCAGCCACACUGGGACUGAGACACGGCCCAGACUCCUACGGGAGGCAGCAGUGGGGAAUAUUGCACAAUGGGCGCAAGCCUGAUGCAGCCAUGCCGCGUGUGUGAAGAAGGCCUUCGGGUUGUAAAGCACUUUCAGUAAGGAGGAAAGGUUAAGUGUUAAUAGCACUUAGCUGUGACGUUACUUACAGAAGAAGCACCGGCUAACUCCGUGCCAGCAGCCGCGGUAAUACGGAGGGUGCGAGCGUUAAUCGGAAUUACUGGGCGUAAAGCGUACGCAGGCGGUUUGUUAAGCGAGAUGUGAAAGCCCCGGGCUCAACCUGGGAACUGCAUUUCGAACUGGCAAACUAGAGUGUGAUAGAGGGUGGUAGAAUUUCAGGUGUAGCGGUGAAAUGCGUAGAGAUCUGAAGGAAUACCGAUGGGCGAAAGGCAGCCACCUGGGUCAACACUGACGCUCAUGUACGAAAGCGUGGGG